rnacentral:rRNA from 1 species
AUGUCAAGAGAAGUUGGUUGUUAUCCUGAUAUCUUCAUUGCUUAUUGCAUCUUAUUUACUAUACCUGUGACUAACAUAUAGGCCAGAAGAAGCUUUUUGAAGUUGAAAUUAUUGAUGAACUAUCUGAGGUCACCAAUGACCCAAGAGAGGUUAUAUAGUUUGGCAACAUUCGGAAUCGAGAAGAAAUUAUUGGAUGAUAUUGACAAUGACCCCAUCAUAAGUGAUUUUGCAUCAAGGAAUGUUAGAAUUAUUAUUAUUAAAGGUAAUAUUUAUAAAGUAUUUGACAUGCAUACUAGUAUUGGAUGCAUUUAA